GGCUCAGUAACACGUCGGUAACCUACCCUCGGGAGGGGGAUAACCCCGGGAAACUGGGGCUAAUCCCCCAUAGGCCUGAGGUACUGGAAGGUCCUCAGGCCGAAAGGGGCAUCUGCCCGCCCGAGGAUGGGCCGGCGGCCGAUUAGGUAGUUGGUGGGGUAACGGCCCACCAAGCCGAAGAUCGGUACGGGCCAUGAGAGUGGGAGCCCGGAGAUGGACACUGAGACACGGGUCCAGGCCCUACGGGGCGCAGCAGGCGCGAAACCUCCGCAAUGCGGGCAACCGCGACGGGGGGACCCCCAGUGCCGUGGCAUCGCCACGGCUUUUCCGGAGUGUAAAAAGCUCCGGGAAUAAGGGCUGGGCAAGGCCGGUGGCAGCCGCCGCGGUAAUACCGGCGGCCCGAGUGGUGGCCGCUAUUAUUGGGCCUAAAGC
rnacentral:rRNA from 1 species